GAUGAAGAACGUAGCGAAAUGCGAUAAGUAAUGUGAAUUGCAGAAUUCAGUGAAUCAUCGAGUCUUUGAACGCACAUUGCGCCCCCUGGUAUUCCGGGGGGCAUGCCUGUCCGAGCGUCAUUGCCGCCCUCAAGCACGGCUUGUGUGUUGGGCCUCCGCCCCCCGGCUUCGGGGGGCGGGCCCGAAAGGCAGCGGCGGCACCGCGUCCGGUCCUCGAGCGUAUGGGGCUUCGUCACCCGCUCUGUAGGCCCGGCCGGCGCCCGCCGGCGACCCCAAUCAAUCUUUCCAGGUUGACCUCGGAUCAGGUAGGGAUACCCGCUGAACUUAAGCAUAUCAAUAAGCGGAGGA
rnacentral:misc_RNA from 1 species